rnacentral:rRNA from 1 species
GGCCAGACUCCUACGGGAGGCAGCAGUGAGGAAUAUUGGUCAAUGGGCGGGAGCCUGAACCAGCCAAGUCGCGUGAGGGAAGACGGUCCUACGGAUUGUAAACCUCUUUUGCCGGGGAGCAACGGGGUCCUUGCGAGGGCCCGAUGAGAGUACCCGGAGAAAAAGCAUCGGCUAACUCCGUGCCAGCAGCCGCGGUAAUACGGAGGAUGCGAGCGUUAUCCGGAUUUAUUGGGUUUAAAGGAUGCGUAGGCGGGACCUUAAGUCAGCGGUAAAAUUGCGGUGCUCAACGCCGUAGAGCCGUUGAAACUGGGGUUCUUGAGUGAGCGAGAAGUAUGCGGAAUGCGUGGUGUAGCGGUGAAAUGCAUAGAUAUCACGCAGAACUCCGAUUGCGAAGGCAGCAUACCGGCGCUCAACUGACGCUCAUGCACGAAAGUGUGGGUAUCGAACAGGAUUAGAUACCCGGGUAAU